AUUGAACGCUGGCGGCAUGCCUUACACAUGCAAGUCGAACGGUAACAGGUUAAGCUGACGAGUGGCGAACGGGUGAGUAAUACACCGGAACGUGCCCAGUAGUGGGGGAUAGCCCGGCGAAAGCCGGAUUAAUACCGCAUACGACCUAAGGGUGAAAGGGGGGGAUCGCAAGACCUCUCGCUAUUGGAGCGGCCGAUGUCAGAUUAGGUAGUUGGUGGGGUAAAGGCCCACCAAGCCGACGAUCUGUAGCUGGUCUGAGAGGACGACCAGCCACACGGGGACUGAGACACGGCCCAGACUCCUACGGGAGGCAGCAGUGGGGAAUUUUGGACAAUGGGCGCAAGCCUGAUCCAGCCAUGCCGCGUGCGGGAAGAAGGCCUUCGGGUUGUAAACCGCUUUUGUCAGGGAAGAAAUCCUUUGGGUUAAUACCUCGGGGGGAUGACGGUACCUGAAGAAUAAGCACCGGCUAACUACGUGCCAGCCGCCGCAGUAACAC
rnacentral:rRNA from 1 species